UCGAUAGGUUUGCCAAAUCCAACGCCCUAGGGGCCUUUAAGGAAAAAAAAAACCCUCUCUCUCUCUCACUUGCUUUCUCUCUCUGCACUUUCCAAUGGCGACCGCAUCUUCCUCAUCGAGGGCGAGAACCCGGGCCUACAAAAGCGGCCCUGUGCUCCGGUCGCUCUCGCCUUCCGAAAGGUUCUACACCGCUUCCAAUGGCGGGAUCUCGUCAUCGGCGUCAGGUUUCGCUUCUUCGACGAGCUCAAGCUUCUCGUCGCCGGCGUCAGCUUUCUUCCACCAGGACCACCACUACUACAAUCAGCAGAUCAACCACCACCACCACCAUCACAGAUCCGCUUCUCCGACGCGUGUCAACCUUUACACCUCCUCCUCUCCGUCUCGGUACGUCCGGUUCUCCAUCGACCACCGUUCGAUCUCUCCCAACCACCAUUCGAAUCGAUCCAUCGCCGUCUCCAAGAAAACUGGACCGAUUUCGAUGCCGAAGAAGACCUGUAUGUGCUCGCCGACGUCGCAUCCGGGAUCAUUUCGCUGCAGCCUCCACAAAAACCAGGGAGGGAGUCAAAACACCGGAUCUUCCCGUCGAAUAGGUUGAAUAUGCGCAGGUCUGCUAUGACGAACUCGCUGGUACGAAUCAGUGGAGUCGAAGGCGAGUGGGUGAAGCGAGCCUUGACCGCCCUGAUUCGCCCUUGUGCGCACCAGCAGAGGCGGAGAGCCGGGUUCCAGCCACGGCCCAGCAGACUCUCUGCCAUGUCCACAGCCGACUACUAGCGGCGGCGGGAUUCACAACGAAUUUUGGUUUACAGAGUGACAACGAAUUUUGGGUUACAGAGUGACAGAACGGACACAGGUUGGUUGGUUAUUUUCCGGUAAUUUCUCUCUUUUUCCGAUCUUUGAACCCGGCUAGACGGAACUCGGAGCCGCACAUCGCAGCCGCUUUUGAUCCGAUCCGACCAGAUCGAUGGCACAGCUGAGUCGAUUCAACCAACUUGGACGAGUUAUGAAGCGGAGGCGCUGACUCAAGCCGGCGAGUUUUACAGUUAGAACUGCAUAUUUGUACAGUUGAAUGAUAAUCAUGUGCUAUGGAUAAUUGGAAGGACAGUUGUCGGACAAUCUAAUCUAAUCCCCAAUUAAAAUCUGAUUAAGGACCAAUUAAUUAGCACUUCAAUUCAUUAGUGGCACAGCAGUUGAGUUCAAUCCAUUUGUGUUUGCAGCAUUUGGGGUGUUCCGUUAUGUGUGCCGUCUCCUUGUGUCACUGGUCCGUGCGUUCCGUUCAGUGCGUGGUCUUCGUUGUCGGCGUUGUCCGUUACGUGCGUUCGGUUCGUUCGGUGCGUCGUAUUGGUUUACCAGGUCGCGUUUGGUUUCGUUCAAGGUGUGAAGGUAGCGACUAAUAAUCUUGUGGGAUUUUUUGUUUUAUGAAGAAAAAAAAAAAGGAGACAACAAGUUACGAUUUUCUACUUCCUUCGAAUCUGGAGGGAGGUUAUAGAAAUUUCACUUAUAAGUGGUUAUUAUCAGGUUGGAACAUUAUGCAUUUUCUUAGAAUUUUGAAAAUUUGAAAAGUAUGACUUUUGGAAGUGAGUUUGGA